AGGAAAGCAGGGGAUCGCAAGACCUUGCGCUUUUGGAGCGGCCGAUGUCUGAUUAGCUAGUUGGUGAGGUAAAGGCUUACCAAGGCUUCGAUCAGUAGCUGGUCUGAGAGGACGACCAGCCACACUGGGACUGAGACACGGCCCAGACUCCUACGGGAGGCAGCAGUGGGGAAUUUUGGACAAUGGGGGCAACCCUGAUCCAGCCAUGCCGCGUGAGUGAAGAAGGCCUUCGGGUUGUAAAGCUCUUUCAGCCGGAACGAAACGGUCACGGUUAAUAACUGUGAUCACUGACGGUACCGGAAGAAGAAGCACCGGCUAACUACGUGCCAGCAGCCGCGGUAAUACGUAGGGUGCGAGCGUUAAUCGGAAUUACUGGGCGUAAAGCGUGCGCAGGCGGUUUUGUAAGUCAGAUGUGAAAUCCCCGGGCUUAACCUGGGAACUGCGUUUGAAACUACAAAGCU
rnacentral:rRNA from 1 species